rnacentral:rRNA from 1 species
UACGGGGGGGGCAAGCGUUGUUCGGAAUUACUGGGCGUAAAGGCUCGUAGGCGGCCAACUAAGUCGGACGUGAAAUCCCCAGGCUCAACCUGGGAACUGCGUCCGAUACUGGAUGGCUUGAAUCCGGGAGAGGGAUGCAGAAGUCCAGGUGUAGCGGUGAAAUGCGUAGAUAUCUGGAGGAAUACCGGUGGCGAAGGCGGCAUCCUGGACCGGCAUUGACGCUGAGGAGCGAAAGCCAGGGGAGCAAAGCGGGG